AACGAACGCUGGCGGCGUGGAUUAGGCAUGCAAGUCGAACGAUCUCUCUCGCAAGAGGGGGAUAGUGGCAAACGGGUGAGUAACGCGUGGGUAAUUUUCCUUUGGGUUCGGAAUAACCUGCCGAAAGGCGGGCUAAUACCGGAUGAGACCACGUUCUCAAAGAGAACGCGGUUAAAGACGGGGAUCUUGAAAAUAGAUCUGUCGCCCUUAGAUAAGCCCGCGUCCUAUCAGCUUGUUGGUGAGGUAAAGGCUCACCAAGGCUAUGACGGGUAGCUGGUCUGAGAGGAUGGUCAGCCACACUGGGACUGAGACACUGCCCAGACUCCUACGGGAGGCUGCAGUCGAGAAUCUUUUGCAAUGCCCGCAAGGGUGACAAUGCGACGCCGCGUGAGCGAUGAAGGCCUUCGGGUUGUAAAGCUCUGUCAGCUCGGAUGAAAGCAAUCGGGUUAAUAACCCGCUUGUC
rnacentral:rRNA from 1 species